UACGUAGGUGGCGAGCGUUGUCCGGAUUUAUUGGGCGUAAAGCGCGCGCAGGCGGUCGCGUAAGUCUGCUGUGAAAUCUCCCGGCUCAACUGGGAGGGUGCGCCGGAUACUGAGGGGCUAGAGUGUGGGAGAGGAAAGUGGAAUUCCUGGUGUAGCGGUGAAAUGCGUAGAUAUCAGGAGGAACACCGGUGGUGUAAACGGCUUUCUGGACCAUAACUGACGCUGAGGCACGAAAGCGUGGGUAGCAAACAGG
rnacentral:rRNA from 1 species